UUUUUUGGCUGGUAAGGGAGACACCAUGGUCGUGGAAGGUGGGUUUUCUAGGGUGAAGCCAAUCCUUUGCACUCCAGAUGUACUGAUCCCUGGAAUUUCCCACAUGUCGAUCCCUGGAACUUGCCGGGAACCUCAGCUGCAAAAUUUUUGGUAGCAGGAAACUUUCUGCACCUUUUCCCU
rnacentral:snRNA from 14 species